AAGUUAUGGAUGUGUCAUUGCCGUAUGAAGUCCAUUACGCAGGGAAAAAGCGUAUCCUACACCUGGCAGAGCCUUGCCUGUUGGUGUGGGGUAGAGGAAGUAAAUGGUUCCAACCCCAGAAGAACAUCACCAUUGAAGAAAUUUCAGCUUUUUAGCUGAUGAACAUCGUCUCAUUGGAGACUGCCUCUGUCACCCAACAGCCCGUGGUUCCCUGCGGUGAGGUCUGCUACCUGCAAGCAUGGUACAUUUCUCCUGUGUGUCGUAUACUGUGGAAGCUGGGACUACACCAUCCCAGAGGCUGAAUUUGCAUUUGCAGUGGGCAGCUUGUUCAGAUUCUUCACUUGUAAGGACAUGAGUACCGGCUAGAAGCAAGGUAUCACCUGCAGGGCUGAGAAUGACAUUCAGAGGGAUCGAAUUCCAAACUGGAAGACACACCCUGCAAACAACUGCGCAGGGAAGAAUCUUUCCAGAAUUUCAGCAUCUCCCAAACAGCUAUUGACUUGUUUAUGUUGCCUUACACAGGAACAUGCAGAUCUCAUAGUCCAAAUCAGAUAGUGAUUUUAUAUACCUCUGUUCCGUAUGCCUCCGUUCUCAUCUGGCUUUGUUUUCCCAAAGCUCUUCUAGACCAGAAAGACAUGCAGAUGCCCUCAAUGAUAGCAUCAAAUUUUAGCCUUGUAAAUUCCCACGAAACCUACCGUAGGUUGUAAAUGUGUUAGCCAAGCAUGGAAAGAAGAUUUAGCCUUUCAAAGCUAGAGACGCUGUUCUUUCAUCCAGCACCACCUAGAUGCCACCGCCUCUGCAACCGAGCUGACUUGUAAGUGGCACCAUAGCAUGCAGCGCUCACUGUGCUCUAGGGCCCUCCUCGGAAGAGUUUGUGCCCUGGAUAUCUGAAUGAGGAGAAUGAUGUGAUCCAUACAAUCAGACACUCUGGAGAAGAAUAUGAAUAUGGCACACAGCUUACAAUGAAGAACUUGUCUGUGCCGUGCAGAGACACCGGGACACAAUGUGAAGAAUGUCUGUGCUGUGCAGCGACUGUGAGCAGAGGAGCGUGGGCUGCUCAGACACAGGCAGGCUGCAAUUGCCAUGCAUUCCCUGCAUGCCCACCAGCUUCCGACUCCUCGCUUUGGAAUCACAGAGCAACAACGAGAGAGUAGUUUCUCACGCUAUUCCGUUACAACCUGAACACUUUUAUGCACAAAGUGUCACAUAUGUAAGGAUAACUGGAACUUAUUUCAGUGUGCUUUGCAGUAGAGACAAACUGGGUCCUUAUCUGUACAGGAGAAGUGCUGGUGUGUAA